rnacentral:sRNA from 1 species
CUUACUGAGGGCACAAAGUUUCCGUACCAACAAGGAGUGUUAUAACGGUUUAUUAGUCUGGAGACGGCAGACUAUUUUCUUCCCGGUUCCCCUAUGCCGGGAUUUUUUUUAUGU